rnacentral:lncRNA from 1 species
AGCUUUGUUGCCUGGGGGGAGCAGGGAGAUGGCUGAGGCCAAACCUCAGCCUGCAGCCACCUCUCGCUGACGGCCUCGUGUCUCUCCUGCCUGCUGUAGGGAGAGCCGGGGAUCCCAGGCCGCUCCGGACUGCCAGGGAGGAAGGGCGAGCCGGGAGAGCUGGGCCUGUCGGGAGCACCGGGCAUCCCCGGCAAGGAGGGACUGAUGGGGCCCAAGGGCGACCGGGGAUUCGACGGGCAGCAAGGAGCCAAGGGAGACCAGGGGGAGAAAGGAGACCGGGUGAGUAAGCCGCAAAGGCACAGGGCUCCCUCACUGCGUUCGUUUUGCCAGGGUCUGAAGCCCCAGUCCCGGGUGAUGCUCUGGGGCCCGGCGGGUGCUGGGGUAUCAGGGUGCCCGGCCUGACCCUCUGCUCUCCCCCAGGGCGCUCUAGGUGUUAUCGGCGCCCCCGGCCCGCGGGGCAGCGACGGGGCGCCCGGCCCCCCCGGUCCCCCGGGCAGCGUUGGCCCACGAGGUCCCGAGGGCAUGCAGGGCCAGAAGGUGAGUCCCCGGUGUGCGACGCCAGAGAGCGCAGCGGGGCUCUGGGGCUCGCUGGGGGCGCGGGGAGCCACC